GAUGAACGCUGACAGAAUGCUUAACACAUGCAAGUCAACUUGGACUUCGGUUUGGGUGGCGGACGGGUGAGUAACGCGUAAAGAACUUGCCUCACAGAUAGGGACAACAUUUGGAAACGAAUGCUAAUACCUGAUAUUAUGAUUUUAGGGCAUCCUAGGAUUAUGAAAGCUAUAUGCGCUGUGAGAGAGCUUUGCGUCCCAUUAGCUAGUUGGAGAGGUAACGGCUCACCAAGGCGAUGAUGGGUAGCCGGCCUGAGAGGGUGAUCGGCCACAAGGGGACUGAGACACGGCCCUUACUCCUACGGGAGGCAGCAGUGGGGAAUAUUGGACAAUGGACCAAGAGUCUGAUCCAGCAAUUCUGUGUGCACGAUGAAGUUUUUCGGAAUGUAAAGUGCUUUCAGUUGGGAAGAAAAAAAUGACGGUACCAACAGAAGAAGUGACGGCUAAAUACGUGCCAGCAGCCGCGGUAAUACGUAUGUCACAAGCGUUAUCCGGAUUUAUUGGGCGUAAAGCGCGUCUAGGUGGUUAUAUAAGUCUGAUGUGAAAAUGCAGGGCUCAACUCUGUAUUGCGUUGGAAACUGUGUAACUAGAGUACUGGAGAGGUAAGCGGAACUACAAGUGUAGAGGUGAAAUUCGUAGAUAUUUGUAGGAAUGCCGAUGGGGAAGCCCAGCUUACUGGACAGAUACUGACGCUGAAGCGCGAAGCGUGGGUAGCAAACAGG
rnacentral:rRNA from 1 species